CAGAAGGAGAUCGUGGAUCAUAAGCUUGCGGAGCAGAUGGAGGAGCCCAUGGCCCAGCAGCUGGAAGCGGACGUCAAUGCUCAGGUUUAUAACAAGCAGCAACCCUGCGAGCAAAAGCCACUAUCCAUCAAUGAUAAGAAAGAGGAGAUCCACAGGAAGAGAUUUGUAUAAGCUUGCAUACCUGCCUUGGAAGAGAAGAAAUCAGUCCGUGCUAAGUUGAAGGAGUCUGAGAAAAUAGCAAUGCAAAAUGAUCAAGAGAAAACUGCCACUUUGGAGGUACACAAUAAGCUCGUGCCUGGUGGUGCUACUUUGCAUCAGAGUGGCACUUGCUGGACGUCGGGUGGAGGAAAUCCGGUGCUGAUGGACCGCUCGCGCCAGUGUCUGAGCUCUUGGAGCCGCCGGACUCACCGUCGCCAUAUGGAGACGGGUCGAUGGAGGAUGAUGGUGUUGGGGUCAGUGAGUGGAAGGUGGCGCCAAUGAGGAUGUGGAGGAGGACUUGGUUGAGCCGGGUCCGUGAAGAUUCUUUUUUAGAUGGCCGCAUGAUGCAGGAGCAGCAGAGGCGUUGUGUUGAGCCUUGGGUUCUUCUGUCGAUCAGUUAGUACGUGCCCUUGGCGUUGUGUUGAGCCUUGGGUUCUUUCGUCAAUCAGUUAGUACGUGCCCUUGGUCGCCUGCACGCCUCAGGUUCAUCUCGUGUAUCAUGAAGAAACUUCGAUAGUAAAGAGAGCAGAGCUAUUAUGUCAAUAACAGAACCUAGAUAAUUUAAUCCAUGAGCAUUUUCAUGCAUAUGCUUUUAUUGGUGUAUUUGG